rnacentral:rRNA from 1 species
UGGGGAAUUUUGGACAAUGGGCGAAAGCCUGAUCCAGCAAUGCCGCGUGUGUGAAGAAGGCCUUCGGGUUGUAAAGCACUUUUGUCCGGAAAGAAAUCCUUGGCUCUAAUACAGUCGGGGGAUGACGGUACCGGAAGAAUAAGCACCGGCUAACUACGUGCCAGCAGCCGCGGUAAUACGUAGGGUGCAAGCGUUAAUCGGAAUUACUGGGCGUAAAGCGUGCGCAGGCGGUUUGCUAAGACCGAUGUGAAAUCCCCGGGCUCAACCUGGGAACUGCAUUGGUGACUGGCAGGCUAGAGUAUGGCAGAGGGGGGUAGAAUUCCACGUGUAGCAGUGAAAUGCGUAGAGAUGUGGAGGAAUACCGAUGGCGAAGGCAGCCCCCUGGGCCAAUACUGACGCUCAUGCACGAAAGCGUGGGGAGCAAACAGGAUUAGAUACCCUGGUAGUCCACGCCCUAAACGAUGUCAACUAGUUGUUGGGGAUUCAUUCCUUAGUAACGUAGCUAACGCGUGAAGUUGACCGCCUGGGGAGUACGGUCGCAAGAUUAAAACUUCAAAUGGAAUUGACGGGGUCAUAGCUGUUUCCU